UACAGAGGGUGCAAGCGUUAAUCGGAAUUACUGGGCGUAAAGCGUGCGCAGACGGUCUCGUAAGUCGGGUGUGAAAUCCCCGGGCUCAACCUGGGAAUUGCAUUCGAAACUGCGAGGCUAGGGUACGGAAGAGGGAAGCGGAAUUUCUGGUGUAGCGGUGAAAUGCGUAGAUAUCAGGAGGAACACCUGUGGUGUAGACAGCUUACUGGACCACUUCUGACGCUGAGACACGAAAGCGUGGGUAGCAAACAGG
rnacentral:rRNA from 1 species